rnacentral:lncRNA from 1 species
GGCCAUUGGGAAGUCAACUGAGUGCCUUAAAUAUGCAUCUGUGAGGAGGUAGGGAGUGUGGGUUUAGGGAAAGAUGGGUUGCAAAAUGAAUGAAUGAAGCAAUCAAUCAGUGUACAUUGGCAGAGAAAUCUGGAUAAAGUUUUAAUAAUCGGAAUCUGUAGGUGGUAAGAUAGUGGGUGACUUGCACGUCCUUUUCGGGUUCUUUGCUGCACUGCUUGAAUUUUUCCUACAACGAACAUUAGAUUGUUCUUUCAUAUACAAUAACACUACUUUCAAAAGAUAAUAGAAAUUUACAUGUAAUAAACCUUGAAAGUAAAUACAUUCUCUGAUGCAGAAGGUGUACAAUAACUAAACCUUAGCACAUGUCUUCAGUUUACAUAAAAAACCAGAAUGAGUAUGUACUGACAUCAGUUUCAAACACUGUAAAUUACCCCUUUUCAGAUUAUGACUAGACCAGAUGCCCUUUAUUGACAAUAUUAAGCCUAAGCCAGCCUGUGGAGUAGAAAAGAGGGUCAAAGUAGCCUUCCCAGAGGGCAUGUGUCUGUCUGUGAAGGGGACACCUGAGCAGUAGAAUCCUCCCUUGCCCAGAGGCCAGUGGAGUUUUCGGCUAAUUCUCCAAAAUCUAAUGAAAUACUUCCUCUGCAGAAGUCAAAGGUAUGUCAGAGAUACACAACUUAAAAUUUUACUCUUGACAUAAGAACUGCUUUCAACGGGGGCAGCACAAGAGACACAAGGCCCAGGCACAAGGUGUUUGAUAUAGUCAAUCAGUCUAUACUAGGAGAAAAAGUCAGUUUAUACUGGUAGGAAAAGAGAAACUACUGGAAAGCAGUGCCAGAUUAGGGCAUUUUGAAAUGGCUACAGUUUGGAAAGUUUAUGCUAAAGCUAAGAACAGUUCCCUGCAUCUCUUUUUAUUCCUUUUGGGAAACUCCUGGUCUUGUCUUGCCUUGGUAGAGAAAGCUUAAACCAGACUGUGACCAGAGCAUGUAUCAGGAGAGGCCUCCCACUCC